UGUCAGGAGAAGGGAACAGGAAGGCAGGGAAGUCUUGGCUGAGUGAACAGUGAGUGCUCCAGGGGUAAGACUAUUGCCUUCCAUCCCUAAAGCCAAUGGAGUGGGGUUCUUAGAGAAUUUCUUAUAAAGACUGAGGGUGACUGCAAGACCUGGAGGUUGGCCUCCUAUUCCUUGGAUGGGGGUACGCUGAACCAUCAGCCUUCUGGAAGCACCCCGAUGCUCCUGUAUACAGUGAAUGUCUUAAGGGUUAUUGGAGGAGUUUGCUGAAGUCCUAGGGCAGGGCCUACACUAUCCUUUUCAGUCCCAGAAUCUCACAUGUGCCCUGAGGUUUGUGAACAUACUUAAACCAAGACGGUUCAGAUCGAGAGAUUUCUGAGGAUGAAUGGCCUACCGGAAUGGGCUGCGCUAACAGGCUUGAACAGAUCAUAGUAUCAGGUGUUUGUGAAAACGAUGGGACAAGCUGUGUGUUAUUCUGGUUCCCAUAGGCCUUGGAGGUCAUAGAAGAGGACUCCAACGUCCAGAGGAUGUCAGAGUCCUGGUGGCCCUCCAGGAAGUGCACCGGGUUUAACUGAGAAGCAGCACUGUGGGCUGGCCUGUGAGCCACCUUGCCAAACAACACACGGUGGCACUUGGAGACGCAGCCGGAAUGUGUGGAGAUGGUGGCACCCUUCUGGGAGAAGUCUCAGUUAUGGAGGGUUGGGUUAAACCCAGUCUUUUUUUCUAAGAAUACUACCACACCACUGACUUAGAAGCCACCAGCACUGGUGAAGGUAGAUUGAACCUGAAUGGGUCUGAGGAAAGUCCCUUACCAUGUGAGGACUUUCUGCCUCCACUGUCCCUUCUUCCUUCUCUCAACACCAGAGGAACACCCGGCCAGAGAGAGAAGAAGCAGGGGUUGUAGAUCCAAAUAGAGAGAUUUUCUGGCGCCUCGCAGGAAGCUGAGAAACUUUAAAAAUUAAGUUGACACAUCAUUGGUGGUGAGGCUAACCCUGCUUGGGAACAUUCAAGCCCUCAUUGUCAACUCGAGGAGACGGACUCCAUUAACGUUAGGACCUAGCAUAAUUGAUAGGUGAGAGAAGUACAGGUAAGACGCUGGGGGGAAACGGAGCCAGACCAGAUGAACUCUGGUUGGAGGUGGGCUGCUACUCCGAUGAGAUGAUGUUUGAGUUGAAGAUGAGAAAUCUGAGAGAAGGAUGAAAAGGUGGGCUUUUUAGAUACAAGGACCAGAACCAAGGAGAUACAACAUGAAGUGUGUGAGUAGUCAGUGAUGGCCGGAAUGGAGGAAGGGGGUGGGGGAACUGGGAUAGAAUUCAAGGCCUUCCCAAUAUGGCUCGACC